CCUACGGGGGGCUGCAGUGGGGAAUAUUGGACAAUGGGGGGAACCCUGAUCCAGCCAUGCCGCGGGUGUGAAGAAGGCCCUCGGGUUGUAAAGCACUUUCAGUGAGGAAGAACGCCUGGUGGUUAAUACCCAUCAGGAAAGACAUCACGCACAGAAGAAGCACCGGCUAACUCCGUGCCAGCAGCCGCGGUAAUACGGAGGUUGCGAGCGUUAAUCGGAAUUACUGGGCGUAAAGCGCGCGUAGGUGGCUUGAUAAGCCGGUUGUGAAAGCCCCGGGCUCAACCUGGGAACGGCAUCCGGAACUGUCAAGCUAGAGUGCAGGAGAGGAAGGUAGAAUUCCCGGUGUAGCGGUGAAAUGCGUAGAGAUCGGGAGGAAUACCAGUGGCGAAGGCGGCCUUCUGGACUGACACUGACACUGAGGUGCGAAAGCGUGGGUAGCAAACAGGAUUAGAUACCCGAGUAGUC
rnacentral:rRNA from 1 species